rnacentral:rRNA from 1 species
UACGUAGGGUGCAAGCGUUAAUCGGAAUUACUGGGCGUAAAGCGUGCGCAGGCGGUUGUGCAAGUCAGAUGUGAAAUCCCCGGGCUUAACCUGGGAAUGGCAUUUGGGACUGCAAGGCUGGAGUGCGGCAGAGGAGACUGGAAUUCCUGGUGUAGCAGUGAAAUGCGUAGAUAUCAGGAGGAACACCGAUGGCGAAGGCAGGUCUCUGGGCUGACACUGACGCUCAUGCACGAAAGCGUGGGGAGCAAACAGG